rnacentral:misc_RNA from 1 species
UUUUAAGAUGUUUGGAGGUUUUAAAGAGAAAAAAACUUCGUAAUCCACCAAUUUGGUGGAUUGGAAAUUAGAGUUUUUGGAGGUUUUCAAGACUUCCAAGAAUCGUACUUUAAAAAAACCACAUGUUCUCUUAACACAAAUUCAUGGUUUUCGAACCUUGAAAAACCUCCUAUUACUUUAAAAAAACUUCCUUCCAAACAAGGGGUUAGGUGGCAAUCAUUUUUAUUUUAGAGACGUCAUAAAGUAGGGAAGGGUCCUCCCCCCAAGAAGAAAAAAAAUGCCACAAAUCAACUAUUUUUAUUAUUGGGGUAAUGAUCUAAUAUUCCCUGAACUUUUUGGGCUUUCAUAAUGUAUCAUGUGCUUUUAUUAGUUUAGUUCUUAGGUUGCUGAUUUUAUUUCUUGUAUCUACUGGAUCUGGGGCAUGUGCGCAUCCUAAUGUUUUGUUGAGAUGAAAGGCAAUCUCUCAUGUAUUAUAGGAGGUGUAGAACCAAGAAUAGAG